UGGGGAAUAUUGGACAAUGGGGGCAACCCUGAUCCAGCGAUGCCGCGUGUGUGAAGAAGGCCUUUGGGUUGUAAAGCACUUUAGGUUGGGACGAAGGUUAUUGUGUUAAUAGCACGGUGAUUUGACGGUACCGACAGAAUAAGCACCGGCUAACUCUGUGCCAGCAGCCGCGGUAAUACAGAGGGUGCGAGCGUUAAUCGGAGUUACUGGGCGUAAAGGGCGCGUAGGCGGUUAUUUAAGUGAGAUGUGAAAGCCCCGGGCUUAACCUGGGAAUUGCAUAUUAGACUGAGUAACUGGAGUACAGUAGAGGGUGGUGGAAUUUCCGGUGUAGCGGUGAAAUGCGUAGAGAUCGGAAGGAACAUCAGUGGCGAAGGCGACCACCUGGACUGAAACUGACGCUGAGGCGCGAAAGCGUGGGGAGCAAACAGG
rnacentral:rRNA from 1 species